rnacentral:rRNA from 1 species
AACUCAAAAGGAUUGACGGGGACCCGCACAAGCGGCGGAGCAUGCGGAUUAAUUCGAUGCAACGCGAAGAACCUUACCAAGGCUUGACAUAUAGAGGAAACGUGCAGAAAUGUACGCCCCGCAAGGUCUCUAUACAGGUGGUGCAUGGUUGUCGUCAGCUCGUGUCGUGAGAUGUUGGGUUAAGUCCCGCAACGAGCGCAACCCUCGUUCUAUGUGCCAGCACGUA